AUGUCUAAAACUCAAUUUUUGUUGUUGCUGCUGCUGUUGUUCUUAGAAUUGGAACGUAUUAGAACUCUGAGCCAACUCUCUAAUUUUACGGAGGCCCAGGAGACUCAUUACGUAAUCUUUAGAAAAGAACAGGAGAAAAUGUCUAGAGAGAAAGAGCCAUUCCAGGACCUACAUAUGGAAACAGCUAAAGAGGUACCUGGUGCACCACAGUCUGAAACCACCUUUAAUCAAGUUCACAUUUUGGGUUCCCUGGAUGUCUUAAUCCAUUUGUGCUGCUAA
rnacentral:lncRNA from 1 species